CAGCAGCCACGGGAAUACGUAGGUGGCAAGCGUUGUCCGGAAUUAUUGGGCGUAAAGCGUGCGCAGGCGGUUGUGUAAGACAGGUGUGAAAUCCCCGGGCUUAACCUGGGAACUGCGCUUGUGUCUGCACAGCUAGAGUAUGGCAGAGGGGGGUGGAAUUCCACGUGUAGCAGUGAAAUGCGUAGAGAUGUGGAGGAACACCGAUGGCGAAGGCAGCCCCCUGGGCCAAUACUGACGCUCAUGCACGAAAGCGUGGGGAGCAAACAGGAUUAGAUACCCCUGUAGUCCCUGUCUCUUAUAC
rnacentral:rRNA from 1 species